rnacentral:lncRNA from 12 species
UUUAGAUUAGGCGUACUCAAGGAUAUCCAUGAGUAAUAACUAUAAGCUUUGUCAUAGAUAACUGUAUCGGGUGUGUUUAAAUGUACAACUCUGUUUUUCUAUUAUUAUGUGAUAUUUCACGUUGACUUGUCAAACUGAAAAAUACCCAUAUUGAUUUUGCAGAAAGCUUCACAUGUGAGAUAAAUGCACUCAAAGACUCCUCACAAGUAGCUCUUUGGAGCUUCAGAUGUGAAAUGGAUCAUUCCUCAAUCUGUAAUAGACCCUUCUGUGAAGCUCUUCAAUCAAACCUGAGAAUUCAAGGUGAAAUUGAGGGGAGGAUGGGAAACCCCUACAGGGGGAUUUGAGUGGACUAGCUGAGAAAGGAACCCGGGGUAUUUGCUGCAUCUUUUUUCCCUUUUUUUCUCUUGAGCGCAGGAAGGCUGUCAAUCAACGUGUGACCUUCCGAGCUGUAUGUAUGCGUGUAAUACCUGGGUGCAAGGAGGCAUUUUGUAGCAUCCUAAACAGAAGGAUAUUGAAGGGAGCUGAUUCUGCUUUGAUCCUUGUGCUUGUUGUCAAAGCGCUUGGGAUUGAAGAGACUGUUGGCUACAAUUGACUGUGACAAUUAGGAGAUGAUCAGAGCCCUAGAGUGGAGCACUUAAAGGGAGAGAAACUGCUUGAUCCCACCUUGCCUCGGGCUGUCCAGAAUCCUUCGCCUGGAAGAUGGUGGGUUACGGAUUCGCAAACAUUUUUCUACCCCAGAGCGUAUGUUCACGCGUCGGGCACUUCCAUGGGUUUACCUUGCUUGGGAUACAAUAGGCCUUGUACUUCAAGCUUCCUUUUAACCUGGUCUCCUUGUCCUGACAUUCUUCUGUGUCCUCUUGGGAAGGCUCACUCCUUUUCCUUUGUUCUGUUCUCCCAUAUUUUGUAUCGCAUCAGUGUGUCACUGCCUUAA